GCUGCUUCUCGUCGCCUGUUCAUUCGGUCCAGUUGAUUGUUUUUUCUUUUUGUUUUCAUGAUGACUUUUCGGGGAAUGAGUGGCUGUCUGGUGUGUGUCGCUGUGAUGCUUACGAUGACAAGCACCGUGCAGGCAGGUCCUACACUCCACGUGAAGCCCGGAUCGUGUCCUUUCCUCCUGGCUCCUCCGCCUCACGUGGAAGGCAGCCCGCUUUCCCUUGACUUCCCACCUGAUCCCGAGACUUGCCGCUCUGAUUUCGACUGUGAUGGCCGUAUGAAAUGCUGCCCGAGUGGCGCUUGCUGUGGUACUAUUUGUACUGAACCCGUGGCAGCAAUCGGAUAGCUGAUAAAAUCAUGGUUAUUAAGAGUCGACUGCCUUGAAGAUAACCGUGGUUCAGCGAGAGCGGUCGUCAGAUGGCUGUAAUGGUAAAGAUUGUUGAUCCUUCAGAAUAAAAUUUGAAUGAAU